ACAAAAGAAAACAACUGCCAGAGUGAGCUGUGUAAAUCUUCUUUCCUAGGUGUUUUUUAAAAAGAGAAAUGAGUUUCUAUCAAGAUUUCAGUCUUCUCUUGAAUCAAGGAUUGGAAUAAGCUAAACAUCCCCAGCUCCCUAAGUCGUUCCUCAUAGGACAAGGUUUCCAGACCCUUCCAGACCCUAACAAAGGAAAGGUUUUUGGGAACAACUCCCCCCAUCAAGGAUUGACAUGGGGUAGAUGGAACAUCCUGGAAUGGAGCAGAACAUUCAAGACUGACACUCAAAACUGAAGACAGGGAACUUUAUAGCACAGGGCUCCUAGGGAUCGCUCUCAGAAUGGAACAGACCUGGAAUGAGUGGGGGGACGCAUUUUAUCACACACACAAGUCCCUCACUCCUUCCGUUCCAUUCCCCAUCCGUUCCACAGGAGGAGAUUUUUAAGAACUCUUCAAAAAUCUCCUCUCUGGAACGGACUGGGAAUGGAAGGGCAGGGAACGAAAGGAGUGAGGGACUCUGUGUGCAGUAAAAUGUAUCCCUCACUCCUUCCGUUCCCUUCCUGGCUCUUUUGGGACCAUUCUCGUCAUGUCCCAGGAGCCCUGUGCAAUAAAGCCCCUAUAUCAUGCUCUUCCCCUAAGCAGAGGAGGCACCAGGAGUGGCCAUCACGACGAGAUGCUACUGCUGCAUAUAAUACAAAUGAGAUAUGGAAGAAGAACAAAGCCUCAUCAUCACAGCAGAGAAGAAAGAAGGAGGGAUAAGUAUCCUCACAGUCAGGACAAAUAAAUCCACAACAUGGCUAGCCAGGGCUGAUGUGACAUCUUCCAAGAUUCCCUGACCUCCAUGAUGUGUGCACUAAACUCCUUAGUCUUCUUAUGAUUUCUUGACUUCAGUCCUCACUGCAAUCAGUGUUUGAUCCUAGUACAGACAACCACGCAGAAGGCUUUCUUGAUGGAAUCCAAAAUCCAAAACGGAGUGAUACCUUCAUUGGCCAACCAAAAUACAGAUAAUACAUCAUACAAGUUUUCGAAGCUUAACAUCUUCAUGAGGCAAAGAUGUUAAAAAUCAGAGGCAGUCUGCAUCUCAAGGGAAGUUUCUUUUCUUUUGGUAAUGGAGCUGACAUGUUAUUAUCUGUCUUUUAUUGUCCUUUGUUCAUGGUCCUCAAAUGGUGCCCAACCUUUGUUUCUUCAGAUGAUUUUAACAUCAGCUCCCAUAAUUCCCGAGUGUUGGCCAAGUUGCCAGGGGCUUCUGGGAGCUGCAGUCCAAAACAGCCCAGGACAAAGGUUGGGAACUGCUCCAGACUGUUUUAACUGACAACAGAAGUAACAUCUGGGACAAAACGUAGACUGUGACUUUAACAUUGGCUUAAAACAAACAGGCCAAAACCAUUGCCUUUGGGCCACUUGAGGGCAUGGCAUUUAGACAUCACAUGCCCUGGAUGCAGCCUGAAGCUGGGCCGAGGCUGUACCAACAACAAAGAACCAGAACAAAACAGAGCAGAUGUAAUGUGCUUCUGCCAACAGCCUGGUUCGAGACCAUGGUUUGAGACCACUGCACUGAGUGCAGGCCCAUGCAGUCACUGCGGUCUUGGCACAAUCAGUGCCAAAGCAGCCUUACGCUGCUCCUUUGGGCCAGUCUGUGUGACCCCAAAGUCACUUAUCUCUUCUUGUAUGCUUUUUAACAUCUUUGUCUGAUCUUGAGCAUGUUUGGAGGUUCUGGCAGGAGGGCGCAGCUACUGUAUACCCCCGACUGAAGAAUGGUACACUCCUUCUUCUGGGAUGGUCGUCCUCUUCCACCAAGCACGCACCUUCAGGAGGGAUGCACAUGGAGUGGUGAGGGAGGAAAGAGACACCUGCCUAGCCAGCAAGAUCAGUCAAAUCAACCCUGGUGAUCAAUGGGGUGACAGAUGUCACAGCCCGAUCGCCCUCACAUCCAGACAAGCAAAAUAACAGAAAUAUAAUAAUACCUUUGAGGUAACAUAUGUAAAUUUCCUAUGUAAAUCAAAUUAAUGAGGAAAGAAGUCAUAUUAUAUCAACCUUUGGUUCCGUUUGGAAAGGAUUGAUCCAAUAGAACAAAUAAUUUCAGGGAAAUUUACUUUGUAUUUCAAGAUCAGGAUAACAUGACUCAUGGCCUAUGCUCUAUGUAAGCAUUUGUCGGUGUUUCUGUGCUGUUGAUCUAUAUUUGUCAUGUUAAUUUCUGUUUUUUAAUUAAUAAAUUUUAUUAAAAAUAUCUGGACUUAAAAAAAAAUAUUUGACUGUUGAAGAAGCCAGUGAAGCUUUCAAAGGUUGCAUCAUGUAUUUUUGGCAUUUUGGAUGGUCAAUACAAUUGCUGUUC